rnacentral:rRNA from 1 species
GGGUAGGUCGAGGUGAGUAUGUCUGGGAACUGCCUGAUGGAGGGGGAUAACUACUGGAAACGGUAGCUAAUACCGCAUAACGUCGCAAGACCAAAGAGGGGGACCUUCGGGCCUCUUGCCAUCGGAUGUGCCCAGAUGGGAUUAGCUAGUAGGUGGGGUAACGGCUCACCUAGGCGACGAUCCCUAGCUGGUCUGAGAGGAUGACCAGCCACACUGGAACUGAGACACGGUCCAGACUCCUACGGGAGGCAGCAGUGGGGAAUAUUGCACAAUGGGCGCAAGCCUGAUGCAGCCAUGCCGCGUGUAUGAAGAAGGCCUUCGGGUUGUAAAGUACUUUCAGCGGGGAGGAAGGGAGUAAAGUUAAUACCUUUGCUCAUUGACGUUACCCGCAGAAAAAGCACCGUCUAACUCCGUGCCCACACCCGCGGCAAUUCCGAGGGUGCAACCGUUCUGGGGGAGGGGUGGGCGAAAACCCCCC